rnacentral:rRNA from 1 species
UGAGGCUUCAUGUCUUGUAAUUGGAAUGAGAACAAUUUAAAUCCCUUACCGAGUAUCAAUUGGAGGGCAAGUCUGGUGCCAGCAGCCGCGGUAAUUCCAGCUCCAAUAGCGUAUAUUAAAGUUGUUGCAGUUAAAAAGCUCGUAGUUGGAUUUGUGGUGUGUCCAGUCGGCCUUUGCUCUUUGAGUGAUUGUGCUGUACUGGUCUGCCAUGUUUGGGUGGAAUCUGUGUGGCAUUAGGUUGUCGUGCAGGGGAUGCCCAUCGUUUACUGUGAAAAAAUUAGAGUGUUCAAAGCAGGCUUAUGCCGUUGAAUAUAUUAGCAUGGAAUAAUGAUAUAGGACCUUGGUACUAUUUUGUUGGUUUGCGCACUAAGGUAAUGAUUAAGAGGGACAGUUGGGGGUAUUUGUAUUCCAUUGUCAGAGGUGAAAUUCUUGGAUUUUUGGAAGACAAACUACUGCGAAAGCAUUUACCAAGGAUGUUUUCAUUAAUCAAGAACGAAAGUUAGGGGAUCG